GUCAUUUUAAUUUCUUUUAGGAUUUCCCAGUGUGAUUGGCUGCAUAGAUGCACACACAUCCCCAUCACAGCUCCCUCACAUCAUGAACAGGAAGUCCAUUCACAGCAUAAAUGUGCAGAUCAUAUGUGAUGCUGCAUACAUCAUUUCUAAUGUGGAGGCCACGUGGUCUGGGUCUGUUCAUGACUCCAGGAUUUAUGGAGAGUCUAACCUGAGCAACAGACUGCAGCAUGGAGAGUUUGAUGGCCUUCUGCUGGGUGACAGGGGUUACCAUGCCAACCCAGGCUGAUGACCUCAUACCCUGACCCUGAACCAGGCCCCCAACAGAACUUCAACCGGACUCACUGCAGGACCAGAGCCCGGGUGGAGAUGACCAUAGGCCUGCUGAAAGCCCGUUUCCAGAGCCUACGUCUCCUCAGGGUGACCCCUGAGAGGGCCUGUGAUAUUACUGUGGCAUGUGUUGUUCUUCAUAAUAUUACCACUAUUAGAGGAGAGCAACACCCUGCCCUACAAACUGAAGACCCAGAUGAUGAGCCCAUCCACCUGCAGCUAUCCAGGACAGCAGAGCAGUCAGAG